GAACAGCUGUGGCUCAUAAAAACAUAAACAAAGGUUGUUGAAGUACGAGAUUAUAAUGAACAAUUUCCAAACUAUUUUGGCUGUUGUUCAACAGCAGAACCUUAAUUUGCUACAGCUUUUUAAGGCAGUCAAUUCGGAGGAGUGGAAUGAUGACGAAUUGGAGCUGUACGAAGGCAUUUUUUCAACAAAAUAUCAAAUACCAAGACGUGUGUGGAUGGUGAAGCGAUACGGGACAUUUUGGGAAAAGGAUAUACCCGAAAACAACGACGAGUUUUUCAAAGAGAGCUUUCGAAUGGAGAAAAGGACAUUUCGUUUUUGGUGGAUCGGCUUGGAGUUUUGACGAAAAAGGAUACAAACUGGCGAAAUGCAAUUCCCCUGGAAAAGAGGAUCGCUAUUGCCCUGUACACCUUGGGAUCAUCCUCGGAAUAUCGUGCUGUUGGAAGGCUUUUCGGAGUUGCACAAAACACGGUGUGCGAAAUUCUCCACGAAUUUUUCCGGGCUCUCAUAUUGGAGCUCGGAAGUGAGUUUAUGUCUCCCGACUACUUAACUCCAGAAAAAGUAAACGAAUGUGUCAAGGGGUUCGAAGCUAUUGGGUUUCCACAGUGUCUAGGAGCAAUUGCUGCAGAAGCUGUCGAAGAAUCGAUCAUCACAAUUAUAAGGGUUGGUACUCAAUUGUACUAUUCGCUCUCGUGGAUUACAGAUACAGGUUCACCUACGUAAACAUCGGAUCUGCAGGGCGAUG